rnacentral:lncRNA from 1 species
ACAUGUUUUGAAUUACCUCUAAGCUUGUUGGAAUAUGUCAUUGUGUCAUUUUGAUUUUGUAAUUACAUAUCAAUAAAAGAAGUAAUAAAGACUAUCAGACACUUUAUCAAGGAGAUCAUAUCUUACUUCAAAGGUUGAAAAAAUAGCACUUAAUCAAUAAUAUAUGAUCUUCUUAAAGCCAAAACAAUUUCAUCUUUGUCCUACUUCUAUAAUUAUACUUAUUGAUUCAAGUUGUUUUGAAUAAAUU